rnacentral:rRNA from 1 species
UACCAUGCAAGUCGAGCGGUAGCACAGAGAGCUUGCUCUCGGGUGACGAGCGGCGGACGGGUGAGUAAUGUCUGGGAAACUGCCUGAUGGAGGGGGAUAACUACUGGAAACGGUAGCUAAUACCGCAUAACGUCGCAAGACCAAAGUGGGGGACCUUCGGGCCUCAUGCCAUCAGAUGUGCCCAGAUGGGAUUAGCUAGUAGGUGGGGUAAUGGCUCACCUAGGCGACGAUCCCUAGCUGGUCUGAGAGGAUGACCAGCCACACUGGAACUGAGACACGGUCCAGACUCCUACGGGAGGCAGCAGUGGGGAAUAUUGCACAAUGGGCGCAAGCCUGAUGCAGCCAUGCCGCGUGUAUGAAGAAGGCCUUCGGGUUGUAAAGUACUUUCAGCGAGGAGGAAGGCGUUAAGGUUAAUAACCUUGGCGAUUGACGUUACUCGCAGAAGAAGCACCGGCUAACUCCGUGCCAGCAGCCGCGGUAAUACGGAGGGUGCAAGCGUUAAUCGGAAUUACUGGGCGUAAAGCGCACGCAGGCGGUCUGUCAAGUCGGAUGUGAAAUCCCCGGGCUCAACCUGGGAACUGCAUUCGAAACUGGCAGGCUAGAGUCUUGUAGAGGGGGGUAGAAUUCCAGGUGUAGCGGUGAAAUGCGUAGAGAUCUGGAGGAAUACCGGUGGCGAAGGCGGCCCCCUGGACAAAGACUGACGCUCAGGUGCGAAAGCGUGGGGAGCAAACAGGAUUAGAUACCCUGGUAGUCCACGCCGUAAACGAUGUCGACUUGGAGGUUGUGCCCUUGAGGCGUGGCUUCCGGAGCUAACGCGUUAAGUCGACCGCCUGGGGAGUACGGCCGCAAGGUUAAAACUCAAAUGAAUUGACGGGGGCCCGCACAAGCGGUGGAGCAUGUGGUUUAAUUCGAUGCAACGCGAAGAACCUUACCUACUCUUGACAUCCAGAGAACUUAGCAGAGAUGCUUUGGUGCCUUCGGGAACUCUGAGACAGGUGCUGCAUGGCUGUCGUCAGCUCGUGUUGUGAAAUGUUGGGUUAAGUCCCGCAACGAGCGCAACCCUUAUCCUUUGUUGCCAGCGGUCCGGCCGGGAACUCAAAGGAGACUGCCAGUGAUAAACUGGAGGAAGGUGGGGAUGACGUCAAGUCAUCAUGGCCCUUACGAGUAGGGCUACACACGUGCUACAAUGGCAUAUACAAAGAGAAGCGACCUCGCGAGAGCAAGCGGACCUCAUAAAGUAUGUCGUAGUCCGGAUUGGAGUCUGCAACUCGACUCCAUGAAGUCGGAAUCGCUAGUAAUCGUAGAUCAGAAUGCUACGGUGAAUACGUUCCCGGGCCUUGUACACACCGCCCGUCACACCAUGGGAGUGGGUUGCAAAAGAAGUAGGUAGCUUAAC